rnacentral:tRNA from 1 species
UAAUGAGAGUUAUAAUUACAUAUUGGUUUCGGCCCAAUACCACAAGAUUGAAAUAUCUUGCUCAUUAU